CUGCCCGCUCGGGAUUUCCCUCACUGCAAACACGAGAAUGAAAUCUCUGCUGGCUUUCCUUUCCCUGUUCUCUGCCCCCUCCUGUGUCCUGUCCCAGGUGCAGCUGGUCCAGACCGGCCCGGGGGCGGUGAAACCUGGAAAGACCCUUAGUAUCACCUGUAAGGUUUCUGGAGUCUCCGUCAGCAGCUACUAUUGGAGCUGGGUCCGGCAGCCAUUGGGGAAAGGGCUAGAGUGGAUGGGGCGCAUCCAGAGCACUGCAGACGGAGGCAGCACAGCUUACAACUCUGCUUUCAGUAGCCGGAUCACCAUCGCCAGGGACACCUCGAAGGACGAAGUUUAUUUCCAGCUCCGCUCGCUGACAGCUGCAGACACCGCCACCUAUUACUGUGCCAGACACACAGUGACACAAAGCAGAGCAGGGACUGGCACAAAAAGAGGAAGUGUCCUGUCCCAGGUGCAGCUGGUCCAGACCGGCCCGGGGGCGGUGAAACCUGGAAAGACCCUUAGUAUCACCUGUAAGGUUUCUGGAGUCUCCGUCAGCAGCUACUAUUGGAGCUGA